UAUGCACCAAAAAAGACGGUUUUACAAUAAAUAUU
rnacentral:sRNA from 1 species